UACAGAGUAAAGUGGUGUCUGUUCCAGCGUCCGGACUUAGUUCCAUAUUUGGACAUGGGAUGGAUUAAGUGGAAGGACUCCUGCAUAGAAGGGGUUCUUCCUUCUUAUCUAGGAACCCCGUCCCGCCCAUGGAAUCAAAGACGGUGAGUUGUUAAAUCUAAAAAUAUCGCUGAUUUUUCCAAAUCAUCGAAACGAAUUAAAUUAUCAUUGUCAGAAGUUUAUCUACGUGCUUAGGGUAGAAGAACCUUUCUCAAAGGAAGAUUGUGUCCUGAGUGAGCUCAAAAGGGAAUAAAUUUACCUUCUUCCUUUUUAUUUAUAAGUUAGUCCAAGUAAAUGGA